CAGCUCACCUUUUGAAAAGCCAAAUAGUGUGCAAAACAAUCCACCACUAAAACGUCAGGUCAAGGUGUAGCUAAUUGGGGGGCAGCGAUGGGCUACAUUUUCUAUUAAUAGAAGCCCCCAGCAGCAUGAAAACAAUGCCAUAAGACGGAUUUAGCAGUAAACAGAGCAAGAAUCGCCCAAUUGAAGCUCGCCCUGAGACGCGUACACACCGCCCGUCACCCUCCUCAACAAACCAAAAUAUAAAGCUAACUAAGCCGCCCUUUACCCCAACCUUAGAUGAGGUAAGUCGUAACAUGGUAAGUGUACUGGAAAGUGCACUUGGCAAAAC
rnacentral:rRNA from 1 species